GGCUUAAUACAUGCAAGUCGAGCGGUCUCUUUCGGGAGACAGCGGCGGACGGGUUAGUAACGCGUGGGAACGUGCCCUUUAGUACGGAAUAGCCAUUGGAAACGAUGAUUAAUACCGUAUACGCCCUUCGGGGGAAAGAUUUAUCGCUAAAGGAUCGGCCCGCGUUAGAUUAGGUUGUUGGUGGGGUAAUGGCCUACCAAGCCUACGGUCUAUAGCUGGUUUGAGAGGAUGAUCAGCAACACUGGGACUGAGACACGGCCCAGACUUCUACGGAAGGCAGCAGUAGGGAAUCUUGGACAAUGGGCGAAAGCCUGAUCCAGCCAUGCCGCGUGAGUGAUGAAGGCCCUAGGGUUGUAAAACUCUUUCGCCAGGGAAGAUAAUGACGGUACCUGGUAAAGAAACCCCGGCUAACUCCGUGCCAGCAGCCGCGGUAAUACGGAGGGGGUUAGCGUUGUUCGGAAUUACUGGGCGUAAAGCGCACGUAGGCGGACUAGUAAGUCAGAGGUGAAAUCCCGAGGCUCAACCUCGGAACUGCCUUUGAUACUGUUAGUCUAGAGUUCGAGAGAGGUGAGUGGAAUUCCGAG
rnacentral:rRNA from 1 species